GUUCUACAGUACUGCGUGUUUGAUUGUUUAUUAGACGGUUUCACUCAAAGAGUGAUGGUCUCCCUGCUGCUGCGGAGCCUGGGGCGGUCUGCUUGCCUCCACCCCGGGGGAAAGGGUCACAUCUCUUGGGUCUGGGUGCCGUUUCCCCCUCUGGGGGCGAGGGUACCUGGACCCGGGGCAUAGAGUAUGUUUGGGGAGUAUGAUUGUGUGUACAUGUCUAUAUAUGUCUAUCCCUACGUUGGGUGAGUGCUGAGUGUUUGUAUAUGUGUGCAUGAGGGUGGGAAAGCAUGUUUAUGUCUGUGUGUGCCUGUUUGUCUGUGUCUAUAUGUCAGGUCGGGUCUUAGACUCCACCUCCCUGGGUACUCCCAGGCCCUCCAAGUGUGGAGGCCUAUCUCCCCUCACCACACUCCCUGCUGGUAGCUGAUGCCCUCAGGGGUUGGUGCAUUGGUGGUUCUUGGUGUCCGGGGCUGGGCGCUCAGGUAUGCACCGGCUCACUCCCGGUGGCUACUUGGCGGGGCCCGAUGCCUGUCGCUCGGUCAGGCCUCUUCCGGGGCAAAGGGGGCCCUCGGGCCUCCGGCCUCGGGGCCUGCAACUCGGUUCACUCUGGCACAGCUGGCUGCCGGCAGAGCCGGCGGACACGCCAGUGCAGCCCCCUCUGGCUUCUGCUCCGUGGCUACUGGGUGACCCCCUCGUCUGGGGAUCUCCUCAGCCCUUCCCAGGAAGGUGGCACGGAUGCCCCUCCGGUGGUGCUCCUUGGGCUCUCGCACUCUGGGUCCUCUGGAUGUCUGGAGCCUGGAUCUCCUCCAUGCCUGCUUCAUGCCCUGGGGGACGGGGCUAUGGGCCUCCACACCCUCUAGCAGACCGUUACAUGGGGAAACCUUUUGUAUACAAGCGCGUUGAUCCACACAGGUGUGCACACGGGUGUUCACUGUUCGUAGACAUAAACUACACCUUUCUUAGCUGCUACUUCAAAGCACAUUGUGCGCUGUCUGUCCUGCGUGCUGCACAACAACUUUCAAUAUUUAGUAUUUACUGCUGUUCACACUCAGCUAGAUUAACGUGAUGGUGUUGUGUUUA
ensembl:lncRNA